CCUGGUCGGCCAGUUCGCGCGUCGGGCACAGCACCAGCGCCUGCACGUCGAAGCGGCGCGCGUCGAGGCGUGCGAGCAGCGCGAGCGAGAACGCGGCCGUCUUGCCGCUGCCGGUUUUCGCCUGCGCGAUCAGGUCGUGGCCGGCGAGCGCGAUCGGCAGGCUCGCGGCCUGGAUCGGCGUCAUGUCGGUGUAGCCGAGCUGCGCGAGAUUCGCGAGCGUCGCGGGCGUCAGCGCCAGCGCGCUGAACGGCGUGGCGGUGGGGGGGUAGGUCAUGGCGUUGAACUCGGGUCGGUUGACGGAUGGCAAAGGAGCGUAUCGUACAUUCCCUUGACGAACCGGCCGUGGAGAUCGCUCGCGCGGCAGGCGGCACCGGCGCCGCGGACGCGCGACGGCGCCGCCGCAUGGCUGCGAUACGCGCGCACGACGCCGCGUGCGGGCGCGACGCCGUGCCUGCGCCGCCGGCCCGUCAGAACGGGUGCGGCAGCGCGGGCCGCACGACGUACUGGUUCGGUCCCGACGCGAUAUUCGCCGCGCCCGGGAUGUACGCAUGGUCGAAAUCGGUGCCCGUGCGCGCAUUCAUCGCGUGCUGCGCGUGCUGGUAGACGCCUUCGGCGAACCCCGACGAGCGCUUCGACAGAUCGUAGUCGAGCUUCGUGCUCAGUGGGCGCCACUUCGGAUGGAAUGCGCCGGCCGUCGAAUCGACGCGCGCCUGCGUAUACGUGUACGCGGCGCCGGCGUAGAACGCGGGCGUCACGCGAUAGCGGCCGUUGAUCUCGAAGUGGUCGAACUUCCACGAUUGCCAGUGCCCGCCCGCGGGCCGCGUCGUGCCGGUGAAGUAUGCGUUCGAGGUGGGAUCGUAGACGUCGACGUGCGAAUACGCGAAGCCGAUCAGCGCCUUCGAGAAUGCGUAGGUCGCGCCGAUGCCGACGUUCUGCUGCGACGAUGCGUCGAACGUGUUGUCGCCCGUGACGGCGCCCGCGGCAUCCGCGCUGCGCGCGCGGUUCAUCUUCGGGUACGACGCGCCGACCGUCAGGCCGCCGCGCUGGUAUUGGAGCGCCGCGCCGUAGAGGCGAUCGUUCGCGAAGCCGCCCGCCAUGCCGAUGCGCGGCCGCGCGCCGCGGCGCGCGGCGUCAGUCGAGCGGCUUGCCCGCCUUGUCGUCCAUCGAGCCGAGCGCGGCGAGCGUCAGCGCGCCGCAACCGAUCGCGUACCACGCGGGCGCGUUCGCAUUGCCCGUCGCGGCGAUCAGCCACGUGACGAAGAAUUGCGCGAAUCCGCCGAAGAUCGCGACGCCGACGCUGUAGACGAGCGCGCCGCCCGUCGCGCGCACCGCGCGCGGGAACAGCUCGCCGAGCAUCGCGCCCGUUGCGCCGAUGUUGAUCGCAUGCACGCUCGCGAGCGCCGCGAUGAUCGACAGCAGCGAAGCCGCGCCGGGCCAGCGGUUG
rnacentral:rRNA from 1 species